GGGGAAUAUUGCGCAAUGGGCGAAAGCCUGACGCAGCCACGCCGCGUGAGCGAUGAAGGCCUUCGGGUCGUAAAGCUCUGUGGGGAGAGACGAAGAAAGCCCGUGAAGAGCGGGCCUUGACGGUAUCUCCUUAGCAAGCACCGGCUAACUCCGUGCCAGCAGCCGCGGUAAUACGGAGGGUGCAAACGUUGCUCGGAAUCAUUGGGCGUAAAGCGCACGUAGGCGGCGAAGCAAGUUGGGUGUGAAAGCCCUGGGCUCAACCCAGGAAGUGCAUUCAAAACUGCUUCGCUUGAAUCUCGGAGGGGGUCAGAGAAUUCCCGGUGUAGAGGUGAAAUUCGUAGAUAUCGGGAGGAAUACCAGUGGCGAAGGCGCUGACCUGGACGAAGAUUGACGCUGAGGUGCGAAAGCGCGGGGAGCAAAC
rnacentral:rRNA from 1 species